CUCAAAUUAUAGGCAUUAUGUUUUCUGGUCUGUGCGUCCGUUCGUCCGUCCGUUCGUUCCGCUUCAGAUUAGAGUUUUUUUGUCGAGGUAGUUUCUGAUCAUGAAGUUGAAGUCCAAUUAACUUGAAACUUAGUAAACAUUGUUCCCUAUGAUAAAAUCUGUCUAAUUGUAAUGCCAACGUAGAGAGUUUAUCCCAUUUUCACGGUCCACUGAAUAUAUAAAAUGAUAGUGCGGAUGGGACAUCCGUGCACUUGAGAACAUUCUUGUUUAAUAUCUGUUUCUUAUACUUAUAACAGGAGACAGCCUGGAUUACAGUAAUGGGCAAGCGUUUACUACCAAAGACAAGGACAACGAUCCAUGGAAAGACAGACAUUACAAAAAUAAUUGUGGAAUACUAAGACAGGGUUCUUGGUGGUAUACUAAAUGUGGCUUUUCCGGGCUGAAUGGGUUAUACCCGGAAGGAGGAAAAGGAAGUUAUAAUGGCAUUUAUUGGUAUCACUGGAAG
rnacentral:lncRNA from 1 species